rnacentral:lncRNA from 1 species
UAUAGACUCAGAUACUUUCCGUUUUCACUGCAUAAAGAGUUGGGAGCCAAUACUAAAAGUUAGGCUGCAGUGUGUUUCAAGUAAUGAAGAGAAUGAAGACAAUUCAAAUGACUCCUUAACAAUACCACUGAAAUGUCUUGCUGUGGGACAGAAAGUGAAAGUAGGCCUUCCUGUAGAAAAGGAUACAACAUUGGAGUUGCAGCUCCAAG